UACAGAGGGUGCGAGCGUUAAUCGGAAUUACUGGGCGUAAAGCGCGCGUAGGCGGCUUUUCAAGUCGAUUGUGAAAUCCCCGGGCUCAACCUGGGAACUGCAGUCGAGACUGUCUAGCUAGAGUAUGGGAGAGGGAAGUGGAAUUUCAGGUGUAGCGGUGAAAUGCGUAGAUAUCUGAAGGAACAUCAGUGGCGAAAGCGGCUUCCUGGACCAGAACUGACGAUCAGGCACGAAAGCGUGGGGAGCAAACAGG
rnacentral:rRNA from 1 species